ensembl:lincRNA
GUAAGAAGUCAGAGCAAACACUGGAGGUCACGCACUGAAUCACGUCUUAAACCUUUCCAUGGGAGUCAAAUUCCACUCCUGGCUGUCUAACUGGGACACCUGGACCCCACAGGUAAGUGCUGGGAGCCCUUGGAAGCCUCUAAGAGUAAUUGCAAGUGUCCACCAUACCAGCAAUCCCUAUAGCUGGGAUUAUGCCACGGGGAAAAUCUGUAGCAUCUUAAACCAAGACACAGAUUCUUUCUGGUUCCUGCAGCAGAACAAGCUGAGUUCCUUUUUUCUUUCUGUGAAAGGACAUUUGAUGGGAGAUGGAAGAUUUCUUAUUAGAGUGUUAGCAAACCGAGGAUCUCACCUCUUCUCAAUUCUGAAUUUUGAAAUGUCGGGGAAAAACAUUAACCCUAUUGGUUAGGGUUCUAUAGGGAAACAGCACCAAUAGAAAAAAUACUACAUUAUGCCAGAUGGUCAGAAGGAGCAUAACCCAGAAUGGCUGAAGGGACGCUGGAAAAUUUGAGGUCCAGGAGCAGCUCAGCCCAAGAAGCUGGAAGCCACAGAACAAGAGGAUUCAAGAAUGCAGCACCAGUCCAAGACUGAAGGUCCAGAAGCAUCCUGGAGAGUUGGUGGCACAAGUUUAUGUUGAAAGGCUGAGGAAGCUGGAGUCUAAUGUCCACAGGGAAUGGCUGUAACAAAAGAUGCCCCUGCUGAGGCAGAAUGCAACCUUGAAAACACAGGCUGACUUCCUCCUUCUUCCCUAUUCAUUCCCUAUUCUGGGGUGCAAGCCUAUUGGAUGGUGUCACCCACAAUCAGAGUGUGUCCUCUCCACUCCAUAUGCUGGUUUAUCUGUCAAUCAUCUCUGGAAACAUCCUUCAGCUACUUCCUCAAGUGUGUCUUACUAAUCUGCUAGGGGCCUUUUAAUCCAAUCAGAUCAACAAUCCUGGUUAACGGUUAUAGCAAUUAUUUCAGGGACUCAACAAUGCCAGUUGCUGCUGCUAGUUAUAAUAACAAUAACACCAACCUCUAGUGUGCAUGGAAAUUACUGUAUGCCAAGCUCCAGAACAGUUAUUUUCAACCAGAGGUGAUGUUACUUACCCCUGGGCACCUUUGGAAAUGUCUGGCACACUUUUUAUUCUGGUGAUAGAAAGGGUGGUGGUUGGUUGGUGAGAUGCUACUGUAACAUAGUGGAUGUAAGCUAAUCAUGCUGCUAAAUAUCCUGUAGUGCGCAGGACAGAGCCACCCCACACCCACAACCAAGAAGUAUCUCACACAAGAUGUCAGUGGUAAUAAGGUUAACUAGAACUUGCAGUAGACUGAAGCUUUUCUGCUUAAGUAACCUUCAAAAGAACUGUAUGGAGAGCAUUCUUACUGCCCCCACUUUACAGAGAACAUUUAAGCUUAAAGAAAUUAACUCCAAUGAUUUUGACCUUUGAACACUCCCUGUUUUUUUCUUUCUUGGUCUUAUGAUGAUUGCAGAAAAUUUAGAUUUUUUUUCAGUGGCUGGAAAUCGGCUCCCUAAACAUUAGCAUAAAAGUUACAUACCCCAAGCUGACCCAAGUCCCAUCCUAUGUUGGUGGAUGCUGACUAACAGCUGGAGGCUGGAACAGGGACACAAAGUAUUGUAUAAUGUCUACAAAACUAAUGAAAAGUUGCCUUAGCUGCUAAGAUAAGCAACCAGUACGACAGAGAGUGAGAAUCUACACCAAGUUAAAAAUAAGCUUUCUAAGUGUGCUUUCUGGACUGUUUUCCCACAUCCUCUGUUCUUUAUUCCUACUUCUGAUAGUGGUGUGGCGUGUGUUGUUGGGAGAACAGGCCACGAUGGCAUGAGAAUCAGACAGAAAGGAUCCCUACCCUGCAACCUUAGACAGCAUUAAAUCAUCAAAUUCCAAGAGUGUAGGGUCCUUUGGAAGACAACUGCUGUUUUUCUUUCUUUUUCUUUUUUGACCAGAGCCAAGCUCCUUGUCAACAUAUUUAUGACUAGAGACUGGAAAGUCAGACUUUUUCUUUUGAAUUGUUUCGUCUGCAUCUGGCUUGGCUGUUCUAUUUUUUUUCUGUUUCUUAUGCUCUGUUUUCUAUCCUUUUCUCUCUUUUUAAAAAUUUAUUCACAGUUCUCCCCUUUUACAUCUUCUCUUCUCUCUCCUUAACUGUAUUUAUUUAUCUUGUCAACAAUAAGAAAUUUACCUGUUUUUAAACAACCUAAAUGAUGGCUUUAUCCAGAAAAAUUUAUUUAUUUAUUUAUUUAUUUCU